AACCUUGUAGUGAAAUUCACGCCAGAUUGCAAAUCUGGAAAUCACUUUAAAUUGUGCCCUGGUUUU
rnacentral:tRNA from 1 species